GACGAACGCUGGCGGCGUGCCUAAUACAUGCAAGUCGACCUUAGUGGCGAACGGGUUAUUAACACGUGGGUAACCUGCCCAUCAAAAGGGGCUAACACUUGGCUACAGGUGCUAAUACCGUAUACUGGUGGAUGUACCCGCUGGGCAUUAGCUAGUUGGUGGGGUAACGGCUCACCAAGGCCACGAUGCAUAGCCGACCGGAGAGGGUGAUCGGCCAAAUUGGGACUGAGACACGGCCCAAACUCCUACGGGAGGCAGCAGUAGGGAAUCUUCGGCAAUGGACGAAAGUCUGACCGAGCAACGCCGCGUGAGUGAAGAAGGUUUUCGGAUCGUAAAACUCUGUUGUUAGAGAAGCGGUAUCUAAACAGGAAGCCACGGCUAACUCCGUGCCAGCCGCCGCGGUAAUUC
rnacentral:rRNA from 1 species